rnacentral:rRNA from 1 species
ACGGCUCAGUAACACGUGGAUAACCUGCCCAAGGGUUCGGGAUAACCCCGGGAAACUGGGGAUAAUACCGGAUGGAUCACUAGUGCUGGAAUGCUUGGUGGUUUAAAGGUAACGCCUUUGGAUGGGUCUGCGGCGGAUUAGGUUGACGCCGGUGUAACGUACCGGCGUGCCUGUAAUCCGUACGGGUUGUGGGAGCAAGAGCCCGGAGAUGGAUUCUGAGACACGAAUCCAGGCCCUACGGGGCGCAGCAGGCGCGAAAACUCUACAAUGCAGGCAACUGCGAUAGGGGGACAUCGAGUGGCAUCCACCUUGGGUGCCUGUCCAACCGUCUAAAAAACGGUUGUUAGCAAGGGCCGGGUAAGACCGGUGCCAGCCGCCGCGGUAAUACCGGCGGCUCGAGUGGUGGCCGAUAUUAUUGAGUCUAAAGGGUCCGUAGCCGGCUUUGCAAGUCCCCUGGGAAAUCCAGCGGCUUAACCGUUGGGCUUUCAUGGGAUACUACAUUGCUUGGGACUGGGAGAGGUAGGAGGUACUCGGGGGGUA